GACGAACGCUGGCGGCGUGCCUAAUACAUGCAAGUAGAACGCACAGUUUAUACCGUAGCUUGCUACACCAUAAACUGUGAGUUGCGAACGGGUGAGUAACGCGUAGGUAACCUGCCUGGUAGCGGGGGAUAACUAUUGGAAACGAUAGCUAAUACCGCAUAAUAUUAAUUAUUGCAUGAUAAUUAAUUGAAAGGUGCAAUUGCACCACUACCAGAUGGACCUGCGUUGUAUUAGCUAGUAGGUGAGGUAACGGCUCACCUAGGCGACGAUACAUAGCCGACCUGAGAGGGUGAUCGGCCACACUGGGACUGAGACACGGCCCAGACUCCUACGGGAGGCAGCAGUAGGGAAUCUUCGGCAAUGGACGAAAGUCUGACCGAGCAACGCCGCGUGAGUGAAGAAGGUUUUCGGAUCGUAAAGCUCUGUUGUAAGAGAAGAACGGGUGUGAGAGUGGAAAGU
rnacentral:rRNA from 1 species